GAUGAACGCUGGCGGCGUGCCUAAUACAUGCAAGUCGAGCGAACAGACGAGGAGCUUGCUCGUCUGACGUUAGCGGCGGACGGGUGAGUAACACGUGGAUAACCUACCUAUCCGACUGGGAUAACUUCGGGAAACCGUAGCUAAUACCGGAUAAUAUAUUGACUCGCAUGGUUCAAUAGUGAAAGACGGUUUUGCUGUGACUUAUAGAUGGAUCCGCGCUGCAUGAGUUAGUUGGUAAGGUAACGGCUUACCAAGGCAACGAUGCGAAGCCGACCUGAGGGGGAGAACGCACACACGGGAACUGAGAAUCAGCCCAGACUCCGACAGUAAGAAGCAGUAGGGAAUCUUCCGCAAGGGGCGAGAGCCUGACGGAGCAACGCCGCGGGAGGGAUGAAGGACUUCGGAUCGGAAAACUAUGUUAGUAGUGAAGAAGAAAAGUGUAAGUAACUGGGCUGAUAUUGACAGUACCGAAACAAAAAGCCACGGCUAACUACGUG
rnacentral:rRNA from 1 species